AGUGAACGCUGGCGGUAGGCCUAACACAUGCAAGUCGAACGGCAGCACAGUAAGAGCUUGCUCUUACGGGUGGCGAGUGGCGGACGGGUGAGGAAUACAUCGGAAUCUACUUUUUCGUGGGGGAUAACGUAGGGAAACUUACGCUAAUACCGCAUACGACCUACGGGUGAAAGCAGGGGAUCUUCGGACCUUGCGCGAUUGAAUGAGCCGAUGUCGGAUUAGCUAGUUGGCGGGGUAAAGGCCCACCAAGGCGACGAUCCGUAGCUGGUCUGAGAGGAUGAUCAGCCACACUGGAACUGAGACACGGUCCAGACUCCGACGGGAGGCAGCAGUGGGGAAUAUUGGACAAUGGGCGCAAGCCUGAUCCAGCCAGACCGCGGGGGUGAAGAAGGCCUGCGGGUUGUAAAGCCCUUUUGUUGGGAAAGAAAAGCAGCAGGUUAAUACCCCGCUGUUCUGACGGUACCCAAAGAAUAAGCACCGGCAAACUUCGU
rnacentral:rRNA from 1 species